ACUCAAAUGAAUUGACGGGGACCCGCACAAGCAGAGGAGGAUGUGGUUUAAUAUGACGCUACGCGUAGAACCUUACCGAGGCUUGAAAUCCCUGGAACUCUCUGGAAACAGAGAGGUGCCUUCGGGAGCCAGGUGACAGGUGCUGCAUGGCCGUCGUCAGCUCGUGUCGUGAGAUGUUGGGUUAAGUCCCGCAACGAGCGCAACCCUUAUCGUAUGUUGUAUUUCUCAUGCGAGACUGCCCGAGCCAAUCGGGAGGAAGGUGGGGAUGAAGUCAGGUCGGCAUGGCCCUUACGCCUCGGGCCACACACGUCCUACAAUGGCCGGUACAACGCGCCGCGAAACCGCGAGGUGGAGCUAAUCGCAUCAAAACCGGUCUCAGUUCGGAUUGCAGGCUGCAACUCGCCUGCAUGAAGUCGGAUUUGCUAGUAAACGUGGGUCAGCAUACCGCGUUGAAUACGUUCCCGGGUCUUGUACACACCGCCCGU
rnacentral:rRNA from 1 species